UACGAUGAAGAGUUUGAUCCUGGCUCAGGAUGAACGCUAGCGGCAGGCUUAACACAUGCAAGUCGAGGGGUAGAAUAGCAAUAUUUGAGACCGGCGCACGGGUGCGUAACGCGUAUGCAAUCUACCUUUUACAGAGGGAUAGCCCAGAGAAAUUUGGAUUAAUACCUCAUAGUAUAGUGAGUUGGCAUCAACACACUAUUAAAGUCACAACGGUAAAAGAUGAGCAUGCGUCCCAUUAGCUAGUUGGUAAGGUAACGGCUUACCAAGGCAACGAUGGGUAGGGGUCCUGAGA
rnacentral:rRNA from 1 species